CGUUCGCAACCCCCCUUUUUCACGGACCGGCUUGUGAUGCUCCGCAUCCUUGCCGAUCGACCACGCGUUUCUUGGACAUUGUCUAGAAUACAGUUGAUUAACAUUUCACAACUGGUAGCAUUGGAUCCCUUGGCACGCCAUUCGAUGAAGACCGUAGCAAAUUGCGAUAAGUGGUGUGAUAUGCGAGUCCAAAACUUAUACGUGAACCAUCGAAUUGUUGAACGCAUUGCAUCGAGCUUUGCCCAAGCACGAUAUGCCCCAUUGAGCGUCAUUAUGUCUUCGGAAUUUCCGAGUUCGGGAUUCAUGGACUCCUUUUCGGAGGCCACGCUUCCUCAGAUGCAUCUGCGUCACCCAAGAUGUCGUGCUCCUUGUCGUGAACUUCAAGGUGCCGCAUCGAGUCGGUGUUUGCUUAGAGGUCGGCCCUAAACGGCCAGCCGACCAAGCCCGAGAGGUGGAGCCCCGGCUCCACCCUCCUCCUUUGACAUGACCUCACGGGGGCAAGACGACCCGCUAGACUUAAGCAUAUUAAUCAGCGGAGGAAAAGAAACUAACAAGGAUUCCCCCAGUAACUGCGAGUGAAGAGGGAAGAGCUCAAUGUGUGAAUCUGACUGGGAGUAAUGCCCGGUCCGAAUUGUGCACUAUUGACGCCGGAUCAGCGUAUGGGAGCUUGCGGCGGAUGUCCGAUGAAACACGGCACCGUAGCGGGUCACAGUCCCGUACUCGCCCAUCGAGCGCCUGCGCGUACGACCGGUGUUCUUCGAGUCGCGUAGUUUUGUAUUGCUGCGCCAAUUGGGAGGUAGAGCCCUUCUAAAGCUAAAUAUGAUGGCGUGACCGAUAGCAAACAAGUACCGUGAGGGAAAGGUGAAAAGCAACCAUGCAGAAUGGGUUGAAAAAGAAGUGAAAGUGCUACC
rnacentral:rRNA from 1 species